rnacentral:rRNA from 1 species
GACGAACCGUGCAAACGUUAUUCGGAAUCACUGGGCUUAAAGGGCGCGUAGGCGGGUCAGAUAGUCUGCGGUGAAAUCCUCCAGCUUAACUGGAGAACUGCCGUGGAUACUGCUGACCUCGAGGAGGGUAGGGGCAUCUGGAACAGCCGGUGGAGCGGUGAAAUGCGUUGAUAUCGGCUGGAACUCCGGUGGCGAAGGCGAGAUGCUGGACCCUUUCUGACGCUGAGGCGCGAAAGCCAGGGGAGCGAACGGG